rnacentral:tmRNA from 1 species
GGGGGUGAUACGGCUUCGACAGGAGUAGAAGGUGCGGAAGUUGCAUGUCGAGGGUGCUGGGUGGCCUCGAAAAAAACCUGGCAAUACAACUUAAUUGCCGACGAACAGUUGGCUUUAGCUGCUUAAAUAGCAGUUACGUCUAUCUUGUUCUUGCCUGUAGAGUGAGAAUAGGCGCCGAUUAACAGGCUGGACAGAUUGUUUUGUUUGAGGCGGUCUGUUGAGAUUUUAUCAAACUAGUUUCUGUAACAUCCUGUUCGCUGGAGGUUAUAAGAGACGAGAGCUAAAUAGCGGAAUAAACAUGUAGAUGCUGCUGUAACUGUACUUUUGGAUGCGGGUUCGACUCCCGCCACCUCCACCA